AUGACGGAUUCGAAAAUCCCGGAUGCACAAUCAGGUUUUGAGAAAGGUGUCACUGUGGCCCUGGCCGGUCACGCCGGGGCGGCCAUGAUCCACGAAAGCGCAG
rfam:Pseudopelagicola gijangensis strain DSM 100564 genome assembly, contig: Ga0131178_127